UACGGGGGGGGCAAGCGUUGUUCGGAAUUACUGGGCGUAAAGGGCUCGUAGGUUGCCAACUAAGUCAGACGUGAAAUCCCUCGGCUUAACCGGGGAACUGCGUCUGAUACUGGAUGGCUUGAGUUUGGGAGAGGGAUGCGGAAUUCCAGGUGUAGCGGUGAAAUGCGUAGAUAUCUGGAGGAACACCGGUGGCGAAGGCGGCAUCCUGGACCAACACUGACACUGAGGAGCGAAAGCCAGGGGAGCAAACGGGG
rnacentral:rRNA from 1 species